CGCCAUGGUGUCCGACUGGCUUCGCAGAACGUUGCUGGCAGCCUCGGCGACGCGUCUCCACCCUCCGCUGGAAAGCCAGUCUACCGACGAGCGACUGAAUGUUGGUUUGGAUUCCUAACGAAUUUCCAGUGAAAGAGAAAUGGAGAGACAAGACACUUUCAGAUCAUGUCAAAUCUUGUACAUUAAAAUAAGGUAUGUGCUUACAAGUAA